UCCAGACUCCUACGGGAGGCAGCAGUGGGGGAUAUUGCACAAUGGGGGGAACCCUGAUGCAGCGACGCCGCGUGGGUGAAGGAGCGUUUCGGCGCGUAAAGCCCUAUCGGCAGGGAAGAAGGAGGACGGUACCUGAAAAAGAAGCCCCGGCUAACUACGUGCCAGCAGCCGCGGUAAUACGUAGGGGGCAAGCGUUAUCCGGAUUUACUGGGUGUAAAGGGGGCGCAGACGGCAGCGCAAGCCAGGAGUGAAAGCCCGGGGCCCAACCCCGGGACUGCUCUUGGAACUGCGCGGCUGGAGUGCAGGAGGGGCAGGCGGAAUUCCUGGUGUAGCGGUGAAAUGCGUAGAUAUCAGGAGGAACACCGGUGGCGAAGGCGGCCUGCUGGACUGCGACUGACGUUGAGGCCCGAAAGCGUGGGGAGCAAACAGGAUUAGAUACCCGAGUAC
rnacentral:rRNA from 1 species